rnacentral:lncRNA from 1 species
UCCCGCUACUCAAACAGGUUAGAAUACAGGUUCAAAAACAGGCUGACCUGGCAUUUGAAAAUAAAAUAAAGAAAGUUGCAGGGAAAGGAACAUUACCCACUCUCCCCCAGCCUUCUCUCUCCAAAGUUGCUUUAUUCUCUCUCUUCAAAACCCACAGAAAUCCACAAAUCCAACUGUACAUAUUCGGUGGUGUCGUCGCAUUGAACUUUCGCAAACGGUGUCGACGACGUAGGAUCGACGAGCUCCGAUCGCCAUUUGAAAACGACGUUUUAAAAACAAUAACAAGCUCCAGUUAUUAAUAUUUCUUCAUGAUUUGCAGUUCAUAAAAUCGGCCUGUUAUAUAUAUUUUAAUCACGAUAUAUAAACCUCAACUUCUUCUUGGGUCAUCCCUUCCUUCCAUGAAAUUGCAAUUUUCAUAAGGUCGUUAUAAAAUCGAUCUGUUUGUGAGUUCGUGAAACUGCAAUUUUUUUCAAAAGAAACGUGUUUUUGACAAACUGCAAAAAAAAAAAAAAAAAAUUGAACCCAAUUGGCCUGUUAUUAAUAUAGCUUCAUUCCAACGAUUUCUUGUUCCACACUGCACAUUCCCAGAAUUUCAUGUGCAUUUUUGGGUUAUUUUGUGUUGUGGUUUUCCCUUCAACUUCAAAUUAAAGGUAUCUUUUCUCAUUUCUUACAAUAAAUGUGCAAUUCUUGGGGGAAUUUAGAUGAACAAUCUGAAAAAAAGAUUUCACUUUGGGCAAUGGGAUAUUAAGAGAUCUGAUAUUUAGAGUUUGAGGUUCUUGAGGCAAUCUUGAUAUCUCUAAAGUUUCAACAAUUUAAAUGUAUCACAUUUUCUGGGUUUUAGGCAUUUGGUGUAAUUAUAUGCAAGUUCCAGUAUUGAAAAACAAAAUAUUUUUUAUUUGAUUCACUAUAUUUGUUAUUGACUGCUAUGAGUCCUGGUAUCUGAAUGAAACAAUCUACUCAGUUGAGUUGUUUAAAGCUUAUAGGAUUUUCUGUUUUCAUGAGUUCUGGUCUUAAUUGUGGGCAUCUUUUCUAUAUUGGCUCCCUUGCUGCCUUUGUGCUUGGUUUUAGUAUUGGCAUUAAAUCUAAUUUGUGUAUCGUAUGUUUUAGGAGAAAGAUAACGAUAAUAAAGGAAAAUUAUUCCUUUGUUGUGGUCGGAAUUGUGAAUUUUGGGAGUGGCUUGUAAAAGAAAAAUCAAGAGCUGAAUGUAGUCGUGGCAACACUACCGCCCCUACCACUGUGAUGGACAACAUAGAUGAAGAAAUGUCGCGCGUGUUUCAAUCUAGAGUUAGGAUAAGUGACGAAGAAGAAUUACAGAUUUUGGUGAAUGUGAAUGUGAGCAUCCGGACGGAAAGAAGAACCACGGAAGUGAAUGCAAAAAGGAAGCGGCCUACUUGACAUGUUGCAUCAUGGAAACAUUUUAGAUGCUUCGGUUUCGUGUAGACAAGAACUAAUUACCAGUUUCAGUUUUGAUCUUGUAAGCAAACUGGUAUUGUUUUAUGUUCCAAACUUGCAAUCGUUGUGGAUAAUCUAUAUUUGCAUUAUGCCCCUGUAUAUUAAUCUAUAUUUUUGCAUUAUGCCCUUAUGUAUUACCGAAACCCAUGGUUCGCUUGGAAUGAAAAUGAAUUUAGGAAUUAGAAUUUUACUAAUGCCUCACAAUUCUAUCGAAUUAGAAUUUCGAAAACUUGUAUUGAAGUACAAAUGUAUUCUUUUUCAAUGGUAUUUCGUAAAUUUCGGUCUCUAAAUGUGACAAAAGUAAUAUGUUCACAACUGGUUGGUGGAGAUAGA